CAGUCGCCGCGGGAAUACAGAGGGUGCGAGCGUUAAUCGGAUUUACUGGGCGUAAAGCGUGCGUAGGCGGCUUUUUAAGUCGGAUGUGAAAUCCCUGAGCUUAACUUAGGAAUUGCAUUCGAUACUGGGAAGCUAGAGUAUGGGAGAGGAUGGUAGAAUUCCAGGUGUAGCGGUGAAAUGCGUAGAGAUCUGGAGGAAUACCGAUGGCGAAGGCAGCCAUCUGGCCUAAUACUGACGCUGAGGUACGAAAGCAUGGGGAGCAAACAGGAUUAGAUACCCCAGUAGCCCUGUCUCUUAUACA
rnacentral:rRNA from 1 species